ensembl:lncRNA
AUUUUUGCAUGUGUUUGGAACUAACACCUUUUAUUAUUGUUGAACUAAAAAGGGUUCAGGGGUUUUCGGCCCAACGCCAAGUCCAUUCCCCGGGAUUUGAGAGGGAUCUCGACCUUCUUCUAGGAACAUCAGAGGACCUGGGCCGUGCUGCUCCUCUGACCCCCUGUGCAACUUUACCGAAGGACAUCCUGAAGACAAACAAUGGCAGAGAACAAAGUUAGUCAGCGGUUCCCAAGCUCCCGUCUGCCGUCACACUCAACACGAACUAUAAUGCCAGGAUGGACAUGACACUAUGCUGACAGCUGAGCAUGUUCUAGAGCGGCGCCCUGCG